rnacentral:tRNA from 1 species
AAGGCUUUAUGUUAAAUAAACAAAUAACCUUCAAAGUUAUAAAUAUAAGUAAUUUCUUAUAAGCUUUA